rnacentral:rRNA from 1 species
UACCUAUAAGACUGGGACAACUUCGGGAAACCGGAGCUAAUACCGGAUAAGAUAUCGAACCGCAUGGUUCGAUAGUGAAAGANGGUUUUGCUAUCACUUAUAGAUGGACCCGCGCCGUAUUAGCUAGUUGGUGAGGUAACGGCUCACCAAGGCAACGAUACGUAGCCGACCUGAGAGGGUGAUCGGCCACACUGGAACUGAGACACGGUCCAGACUCCUACGGGAGGCAGCAGCC